rnacentral:rRNA from 1 species
AGAGUUUGAUCAUGGCUCAGGAUGAACGCUGGCGGUCUGCUUAACACAUGCAAGUCGAACGGGACUCUUCGGAGUUCAGUGGCGGACGGGUGAGUAACGCGUGAGAAUCUGCCUUCGGGUUGGGGACAACCACUGGAAACGGUGGCUAAUACCCAAUGUGCCGCAACGUGAAAGAUUUAUCGCCCGAAGAUGAGCUCGCGUCUGAUUAGCUAGUUGGUGGGGUAAAGGCUCACCAAGGCAACGAUCAGUAGCUGGUCUGAGAGGAUGACCAGCCACACUGGGACUGAGACACGGCCCAGACUCCUACGGGAGGCAGCAGUGGGGAAUUUUCCGCAAUGGGCGAAAGCCUGACGGAGCAAGACCGCGUGAGGGAGGAAGGCCCUUGGGUUGUAAACCUCUUUUGUCAGGGAAGAACACAAUGACGGUACCUGAAGAAUCAGCAUCGGCUAACUCCGUGCCAGCAGCCGCGGUAAUACGGAGGAUGCAAGCGUUAUCCGGAAUUAUUGGGCGUAAAGCGUCCGUAGGUGGUUUUGCAAGUCGGCUGUCAAAGCACAGGGCUUAACCCUGUAAAGGCAGUGGAAACUACAAGACUCGAGUGCAGUAGGGGCAGAGGGAAUUCCCAGUGUAGCGGUGAAAUGCGUAGAGAUUGGGAAGAACACCCGUGGCGAAAGCGCUCUGCUGGACUGCAACUGACACUCAGGGACGAAAGCUAGGGGAGCGAAUGGGAUUAGAUACCCCCGUAGUCC